GAUGAACGCUGGCGGCGUGCUUAACACAUGCAAGUCGAGCGAGAAGUUUUGAAAAGAUUCUUCGGAUGAAAUUUAAAAUGGAAAGCGGCGGACGGGUGAGUAACGCGUAGGCAACCUGCCCCAUACAAAGGGAUAGCAUUUGGAAACGAAUAUUAAUACCUUAUGAAACUUAACUAGUGCACGCUAGGUAGGUCAAAGAUUUAUCGGUAUGGGAUGGGCCUGCGUCUGAUUAGCUAGUUGGUGAGGUAACGGCUCACCAAGGCGACGAUCAGUAGCCGACCUGAGAGGGUGAACGGCCACAUUGGAACUGAGACACGGUCCAAACUCCUACGGGAGGCAGCAGUGGGGAAUAUUGCACAAUGGGGGAAACCCUGAUGCAGCAACGCCGCGUGAACGAUGAAGGCCUUUGGGUCGUAAAGUUCUGUUCUAGGUGAUGAAAACUGACAGUAACCUAGGAGAAAGCCCCGGCUAACUCCGUG
rnacentral:rRNA from 1 species